GAUGAACGCUGGCGGCGUGCCUAAUACAUGCCAGUCGAGCGAACGGACGAGAAGCUUGCUUCUCUGAUGUUAGCGGCGGACGGGUGAGUAACACGUGGAUAACCUACCUAUAAGACUGGGAUAACUUCGGGAAACCGGAGCUAAUACCGGAUAAUAUUUUGAACCGCAUGGUUAAAAAGUGAAAGACGGUCUUGCUGUCACUUAUAGAUGGAUCCGCGCUGCAUUAGCUAGUUGGUAAGGUAACGGCUUACCAAGGCAACGAGGCAUAGCCGACCUGAGAGGGUGAUCGGCCACACUGGAACUGCGACACGGUCCCGACUCCUACGGGAGGCAGCAGUAGGGAAUCUUCCGCAAUGGGCGAAAGCCUGACGGAGCAACGCCGCGUGAGUGAUGAAGGUCUUCGGAUCGUAAAACUCUGUUAUUAGGGAAGAACAUAUGUGUAAGUAACUGUGCACAUCUUGACGGUACCUAAUCAGAAAGCCACGGCUAACUACGUG
rnacentral:rRNA from 1 species